rnacentral:rRNA from 1 species
CCCGCUGAACUUAAGCAUAUCAAUAAGCGGAGGAAAAGAAACUAACAAGGAUUCCCCUAGUAACUGCGAGUGAAGCGGGAAAAGCUCAAAUUUAAAAUCUGGUGGUCUUUGGCCAUCCGAGUUGUAAUUUAGAGAAGCGUCUUCCGCGCUGGACCAUGCAUAAGUCUCCUGGAAUGGAGCGUCAUAGAGGGUGAGAAUCCCGUCUUUGGCAUGGACCCCCAGGGCUUCUGUGAUGCGCUCUCAAAGAGUCGAGUUGUUUGGGAAUGCAGCUCAAAAUGGGUGGUGAACUCCAUCUAAAGCUAAAUAUUGGCGAGAGACCGAUAGCGAACAAGUACCGUGAGGGAAAGAUGAAAAGCACUUUGGAAAGAGAGUUAAACAGUACGUGAAAUUGUUGAGAGGGAAACGUUUGAAGUCAGUCGCGUCGGCCGGGACUCAGCCUUGCUAUCUUGCUUGGUGCACUUCUCGGUCGACGGGUCAGCAUCAAUUUUGACCGUCGGAUAAAGGCCGAGGGAACGUGGCAUCCUCCGGGGUGUGUUAUAGCCCUCGGUUCGCAUACGGCGAUCGGGAUUGAGGAACUCAGCGCGCCUUCAUUGGUCGGGGCUUCGCGGCUCACGUUAACGCGCUUAGGAUGCUGGCAUAAUGGCUUUAAGCGACCCGUCUUGAAACACGG